rnacentral:tRNA from 1 species
CUGCUCCCGGUUGGGGGCCUUGCGGCCGGUCAGCUUGAGCCCGGCCAUGACGUUGUCGCCGAUCGUCAUGGCGGGGAACGGG